rnacentral:rRNA from 1 species
AGAGUUUGAUCCUGGCUCAGGACGAACGCUGGCGGCGUGCUUAACACAUGCAAGUUGAACGGGACGGAUAUUGAAGCGACUUUUCGGAGUGGUGGAUAUAUUUGUUUAGUAGCGGACGGGUGAGUAAUGCAUGAGAACCUGCCCUUCAGAGGGGGACAACAGUUGGAAACGGCUGCUAAUACCCCAUAUGCCGAGAGGUGAAAGGAGCGAUCCGCUGAAGGAGAGGCUCAUGUCCUAUCAGCUAGUUGGUGAGGUAAGUGCUCACCAAGGCGAUGACGGGUAGCCGGCCUGAGAGGGCGACCGGCCACACUGGAACUGAGAUACGGUCCAGACUCCUACGGGAGGCAGCAGUGGGGAAUAUUGGGCAAUGGGCGGAAGCCUGACCCAGCGACGCCGCGUGAGGGAAGAAGGCCUUUGGGUCGUAAACCUCUGUUGUAUGGGAAGAAGGAAGUGACGGUACCAUACGAGGAAGUCCCGGCUAACUACGUGCCAGCAGCCGCGGUAAUACGUAGGGGGCGAGCGUUGUCCGGAAUUACUGGGCGUAAAGGGCGCGCAGGCGGAUAUUUAAGUCAGCUGUUAAAGUCAUGGGCUCAACUCAUGGAUGCGGUUGAAACUGGGUAUCUAGAGUGCUGGAGAGGUAGGCGGAAUUCCCGGUGUAGCGGUGAAAUGCGUAGAUAUCGGGAAGAACACCAGUGGCGAAGGCGGCUUACUGGCCAGCAACUGACGCUGAGGCGCGAAAGCCAGGGGAGCGAACGGGAUUAGAUACCCCGGUAGUCCUGGCCGUAAACGAUGAAUGCUAGGUGUGGGUGUCGAGAGGCAUCCGUGCCGGAGUUAACGCGAUAAGCAUUCCGCCUGGGGAGUACGGUCGCAAGAUUGAAACUCAAAGGAAUUGACGGGGGCCCGCACAAGCGGUGGAGCACGU